CGUAGGUGGCAAGCGUUGUCCGGAUUUAUUGGGUUUAAAGGGUGCGUAGGCGGCUUUGUAAGUCAGUGGUGAAAUACUCCAGCUCAACUGGAGAGGUGCCAUUGAUACUGUAGAGCUAGAGUACUGAUGAGGUAGGCGGAAUGGACGGUGUAGCGGUGAAAUGCUUAGAUAUCGUCCAGAACACCGAUAGCGAAGGCAGCUUACUAAAGAGUAACUGACGCUGAGGCACGAAAGUGUGGGGAUCAAACAGGAUUAGAUACCCUGGUAGUCCACACUGUAAACGUUGAUCACUAGAUGUUGGCGAUACACUGCCAGCGUUCCAGCAAAAGCGAUAAGUGAUCCACCUGGGGAGUACGCCCGCAAGGGUG
rnacentral:rRNA from 1 species